rnacentral:miRNA from 1 species
UCUGAGUCCAUGAUAUAUUAAA